UACGGAGGGUGCAAGCGUUAAUCGGAAUUACUGGGCGUAAAGCGCGCGUAGGCGGCUGGAUAAGUCGAUUGUGAAAGCCCCGGGCUCAACCUGGGAAUUGCAGUCGAGACUGUUCGGCUAGAGUGUGGGAGAGGGCAGUGGAAUUCCCGGUGUAGCGGUGAAAUGCGUAGAGAUCCGGAAGAACACCGGUGGCGAAGGCGGCCUGCUGGGCAGUAGCUGACGCUGAGGCGCGACAGCGUGGGGGAGCAAACAGG
rnacentral:rRNA from 1 species